rnacentral:tRNA from 1 species
GCCGAUGUGGCGAAAUGGCAGACGCAAGGGACUUAAAAUCCCUCGGGGGCAACUCCGUACCGGUUCGAGUCCGGUCAUCGGCACCA